GCAGUUUGUCCUGUAUUACCUUUUUUUUUCUCGCAUGAGUUCUAUGCCGUCAAAAGUCGAAUUCUUUAAUCUGUCGAAUCGAGAUAGACCACAAGAACAUGACGCCCACGAAGGGCCAGAGGAAGCGCAAGAGGAAUUUAAAGUCUAUUAAAUGGACCCUAAUGCCUGUAGAAGAUCCAGAACUCUUAACUCCUUUCGUCCUGUGACCCGAUCUUAGAACCUUCGCCCGACAUGUUAUGUCUGCAGGGUGUCGUUUUGAACUUCAGAAAGCGGGGGAACCCUGGAUCUAUGGCAUCAGAGUGGGAAGAUGACCCCAUCUUUCCACCCAAACCGCCCAUUUGGAUGAACUAUAUGAAUUUGUACGA